rnacentral:tRNA from 1 species
GGUCUUAUAGUCAACAAUGAUAUCAAACUGCAAUUUUGAAGGAGUAAAAAAAAAUUACUAAGGCUU